CUUCAGGGGGUGAGUACAGGCUUCUUGCGGUCAAAAGGGACAAGGGGGGACAGUUCUUCUUACGACUCUAAUUUACAAUACUAGGGUAGAGCUCAAUAAAGACCCUGUUCAGGACAUUGUUAGCAUUUGAGACGAUCCUCUGGCCUCCCUCCUCACCUGACUCCAUGAAGAUAUUGUAAGAGACGUCUAAACAAUACCCCGAGAAGACAGGAAGAUGUGGGAAAGUUCGGAACUGCCUAGAGACUUGCUGAACGGCUUUGACCAAAUGCUGAUGAUGAUAUGGACAAUCAAGUCCAGGCUGAGGCUGUCUCAGAUGGAAAUGAACUAUGUCCAUGUUUCUAACACGGCAGUCUUCAGUGCUGUCUCUACAGUUUUAGGAACUAUGGCCUGUGAUGCUGCUGGGGCUCAGAAAAUGAUACCCCAAAAUACGGCACUUUGACAUGCUGAACUAAAGAAGCGGCCUCCAGGAGGAGCUGUGACAGAACCCCCCAGAUACUGGAGUGAGGAAGGACAAGGCUUUUAUUCAGCUAGCUGUGGAGCAUCAGUUUGCUCGUGUCCAAAAGAUGCUGAGCUCCCCGAAACACAGUUUCUUUCCCUUUUUGAAGACAUGCAACUCAAGAGGAAGCAGAGAUCCUGUGUACCAGUGAAACUACUGAUGUCAGCUGGUCUGAAGGACCCCAUUGAGGAACUGACUCAACGAAGAAUACAGUUUCCACAUCCUAAUGAUUUCAUCCCCCUUCCCCUGACCGAUCAACAACCUUAAUUUUCCAACCCCUCACCCUCCACAAUCCCCUUAGGAGCCUUAAUGCAGAAGUUCUUGAGGAGAUGGAUCUCAGGGUCUACUCAUAUCUCUUCCCUUGGCUGCCCUGUGGUCAUUAAAUUCUCUGUUGCGAACUGCUGUCUCAGUGUAUUGGUCUAACACUGCACAGAAGAACCUACUGGUCUUAUAACACUAGAGUUGUUUUCUACUUUGUUUUAACUUUUUUGGGAAUCUCUGUAU